UACGUAGGAGGCAAGCGUUGUUCGGAAUCACUGGGCGUAAAGCGCACGUAGGCGGAUUUGUAAGUCAGGGGUGAAAUCCCGGGGCUCAACCUCGGAACUGCCUUUGAUACUGCGAGUCUUGAGUCCGAUAGAGGUGGGUGGAAUUCCUAGUGUAGAGGUGAAAUUCGUAGAUAUUAGGAAGAACACCGGUGGCGAAGGCGGCCCACUGGAUCGGUACUGACGCUGAGGUGCGAAAGCGUGGGGAGCAAACAGG
rnacentral:rRNA from 1 species